UCCCUGGUGGCCUAGUGGUUAAGGACUUGGCAUUGUCAUUGCUGUGGCUUGGGUUUCAAUCCCUGGCCUGGGAA
rnacentral:tRNA from 1 species